CACGUAAUCGGACACACGUGGGCAGGAUGAAAAUUCUAAGGCGCUUGAGAGAACUCAGGAGAAGGAACUCGGCAAAUUGACACCGUAACUUCGGAAGAAGGUGUGCCCUGGUAGGUUGUAGCCGUACAGGCGAAGGCCGAAGGGGUUGCAAAAAAUCGGUGGCUGCGACUGUUUAAUAAAAACACAGCACUCUGCAAACACGAUGAGUGGACGUAUAGGGUGUGACGCCUGCCCGGUGCCGGAAGGUUAAAUGAUGGGGUGCAAGCUCUUGAUUGAAGCCCCGGUAAACGGCGGCCGUAACGAUAACGGUCCUAAGGUAGCGAAAUUCCUUGUCGGGUAAGUUCCGACCUGCACGAAUGGCGUAACGAUGGCCACACUGUCUCCUCCUGAGACUCAGCGAAGUUGAAAUGUUUGUGAUGAUGCAAUCUACCCGCGGCUAGACGGAAAGACCCCGUGCACCUUUACUGUAGCUUUGCAUUGGACUGUGAUGGGAUCUGUGUAGGAUAGGUGGGAGGCUUUGAAGUGGGGGCGCUAGCCCUCAUGGAGCCGACGUUGAAAUACCACCCUGAUGUCAUUGCGGUUCUAACCUUGGCCCCUUAGCGGGGUUGGGGACAGUGCAUGGUAGGCAGUUUGACUGGGGCGGUCUCCUCCCAAAGAGUAACGGAGGAGCUCGAAGGUACGCUAGGUACGGUCGGACAUCGUGCUGAUAGUGCAAUGGCACAAGCGUGCUUGACUGCGAGACUGACAAGUCGAGCAGGUGCGAAAGCAGGACAUAGUGAUCCGGUGGUUCUGAAUGGAAGGGCCAUCGCUCAACGGAUAAAAGGUACGCCGGGGAUAACAGGCUGAUUCCUCCCAAGAGUUCAUAUCGACGGGGGAGUUUGGCACCUCGAUGUCGGCUCAUCACAUCCUGGGGCUGUAGCCGGUCCCAAGGGUAUGGCUGUUCGCCAUUUAAAGUGGUACGUGAGCUGGGUUUAAAACGUCGUGAGACAGUUUGGUCCCUAUCUGCCGUGGGCGUUGGACGUUUGAGGGGGGCUGCUCCUAGUACGAGAGGACCGGAGUGGACGCACCUCUGGUGUACCGGUUAUCACGCCAGUGGUAUUGCCGGGUAGCUAAGUGCGGAAGAGAUAAGCGCUGAAAGCAUCUAAGCGCGAAACUUGCCUCGAGAUGAGACGUCCCGUGAUGUAAGUCACCUAAAGGGUCGCGGUAGACCACCGCGUUGAUAGGUCGGGUGUGGAAGCGCAGUAAUGCGUUAAGCUAACCGAUACUAAUUGCCCGUGCGGCUUGAUCCA
rnacentral:rRNA from 1 species